GAUGAACGCUGGCGGCGUGCCUAAUACAUGCAAGUCGAGCGAACGGACGAGAAGCUUGCUUCUCUGAUGUUAGCGGCGGACGGGUGAGUAACACGUGGAUAACCUACCUAUAAGACUGGGAUAACUUCGGGAAACCGGAGCUAAUACCGGAUAAUCUUUUGAACCGCAUGGUUCAAAAGUGAAAGACGGUCUUGCUGUCACUUAUAGAUGGAUCCGCGCUGCAUUAGCUAGUUGGUAAGGUAACGGCUUACCAAGGCAACGAUGCAUAGCCGACCUGAGAGGGUGAUCGUCCACACUGGAACUGAGACACGGUCCAGACUCCGACGGGAGGCAGAAGUAGGGAAUCUUCCGCAAUGGGCGAAAGCCUGACGGAGCAACGCCGCGUGAGUGAUGAAGGUCUUCGGAUCGUAAAACUCUGUUAUUAGGGAAGAACAUAUGUGUAAGUAACUGUGCACAUCUUGACGGUACCUAAUCAGAAAGCCACGGCUAACUACGUG
rnacentral:rRNA from 1 species